UUCUGACCGUAAACGAUGCCAACUAGCGAUCCGUCGGUGGCUCCAAGGCCCUGAUGGGGAGCUUCCCGGAAACGAAAGUCUUCCGGUUCCGGGGGAAGUAUGGUUGCAAAGCUGAAACUUAAAGGAAUUGACGGAAGGGCACCACCAGGAGUGGAGCCUGCGGCUUAAUUUGACUCAACACGGGAAAACUCACCCGGCCCGGACACCGUAAGGAUUGACAGAUUGAUAGCUUUUUCAUGAUUCGGUGGUUGGUGGUGCAUGGCCGUUCUUAGUUCGUGGAUCGAUUUGUCUGGUUUAUUCCGAUAACGAGCGAGACUCCAGCCUACUAACUAGUGUGGGCAUUGCCACUGUGCUCUUACACUUCUUAGAGGGAUUGGCUGCGUCUAGCGGCACGAAACGGAGCAAUAACAGGUCUGUGAUGCCCUUAGAUGUCCGGGGCUGCACGCGCGCUACACUGGCAAAGGCAGCGUGCUUGUCCGUCUCCGAAAGGAGUCGGUAAACCCUUGAAAAUUUGCCGUGAUUGGGAUCGGAAAUUGCAAUUAUUUUCCGUGAACGAGGAAUUCCUAGUAAGUGCGAGUCAUCAGCUCGCGUUG
rnacentral:rRNA from 1 species